rnacentral:rRNA from 1 species
UAGGGAAUUUUCGUCAAUGGGCGCAAGCCUGAACGAGCGAUGCCGCGUGAGUGAAGAAGGCCUUGGUCGUAAAGCUCUGUUGCGGGGGAAAAAAGGCAGCAUCAGGAAAUGGGUGCUGACUGAUGGUGCCCCGCCAGAAAGUCACGGCUAAC